rnacentral:rRNA from 1 species
CCUACGGGUGGCAGCAGUGAGGAAUAUUGGUCAAUGGACGAGAGUCUGAACCAGCCAAGUCGCGUGAAGGAUGACUGCCCUAUGGGUUGUAAACUUCUUUUAUAUGGGAAUAAAAUGUUCCACGUGUGUGAUUUUGUAUGUACCAUAUGAAUAAGGAUCGGCUAACUCCGUGCCAGCAGCCGCGGUAAUACGGAGGAUCCGAGCGUUAUCCGGAUUUAUUGGGUUUAAAGGGAGCGUAGGUGGAUUGGUAAGUUAGUUGUGAAAGUUUGGGGCUCAACCGUAAAAUUGCAGUUGAAACUGGUAGUCUUGAGUACAGAAGAGGUGGGCGGAAUUCGUGGUGUAGCGGUGAAAUGCUUAGAUAUCACGAAGAACUCCGAUUGCGAAGGCAGCUCACCGGACUGCAACUGACACUGAGGCUCGAAAGUGUGGGUAUCAAACAGGAUUAGAUACCCUUGUAGUC